rnacentral:rRNA from 1 species
CCCCUAGAUGUUCUGGGCCGCACGCGCGCUACACUGAACAGUUCAACAAGUCUUAACCUUGGCCGAUAGGUCUGGGUAAUCUUUGAACGCUGUUCGUGAUUGGGAUAGACCUUUGCAAUUAUGGGUCUUCAACGAGGAAUUCCUAGUAACCGCAAGUCAUCAGCUUGCAUUGAUUACGUCCCUGCCCUUUGUACACACCGCCCGUCGCACCUACCGAUUGAAUGGUCCGGUGAAAUCUCGGGACGGCGGCUUGGUCGCUUGCGUCCGACUGCUGAAACUUGAUUAAACCAUAUCAUUUAGAGGAAGGUGAAGUCGUAACA